GGAUUAGGGAGCUGGCUUUGGAGUCAGGAAGACCUGAGUUCAAGUCUCACUUCUGAGACAUAAUGGCUGCGUGACUGACUGGGCACAUACAGGAUGUACCAAGAGAGACCUGAGUUCAAAUUCGGAUUGUGGAACUUACUUGCUAUGAAUACAUGGAUUCUGAUGAAGAAAAAGGGGGCCAGUUCACCAUGGAUUCCAUCUGUCUGCUCCCUUCAAUCUCCCUGACCUUAUCCCUUGCCAUCUGAAACCUACAGGUAUGAGAAGCUAACCAAGUCCUGGACAACUUGCUGUUUUCAUCACAAGGAGACACAGAACUCAGUGCUGAGAAAAGUUAACUCAAAAUUGAGCAAAUUUUUUAAAAAAAGAGAUCUCACCAAACAAUAGGGGAAAACAUGCCUUACAAGACCUCCUGAACCACAUUCCUGACUGGUUCUACCUUUAGACCAUGGCUUCCUCUAACUCUGUGUGUGUGUGUGUGUGUGUGUGUGUGUGUGUGUGUGUGUGUG